GCGGCAGAUGAGAGGUCAGUGAAGGAGUCAGUUAACACUUGACCAGCGAGGAGAUAACACGUCACUCUCACUCCUCCUCCUCCAGUCUUGUACUUCAUCAUGAUCUCCAGUGACAAGUCUUCAGACAUGAAGCCUUGCACCGUGAACUGUUGCAGGAGAUCGAUGGCAUUGAUAGCUUCAUGGAAGGCAUGUGCCACCGCAAAACAGAAUUAGCUAGUGCUGUAGCAGGAGCAAGAUCUCUUCUUGUUGGCCUUCGCUCAGUAAUUACUGAAUUAAAAGGAAAGAGUCAG